GAGAAGAUUCUAGAAUGUGAAGCCCUGGAGAAGGACCUGCCCUAUGCAGGUAGUGUAAAGAAGCAUCAGUGACGGCAAUUCUAAGCAUCAGUGACGGCAAUUCUAACCCGUAUUGGCUUAUUUGUUUGGAGGAUUGUCUGUCACCAGGCUCGGUGGCUGAUGCCUUUUUAUCUCUGCUUUCUCACCCUCUAGUCCAUCAACAAAUACAGAGAAAAAACACAGGACGCAGGAGAAGAGAGAAAUCAGAGAGAGAAGAUUAAUUAGCCAACAAGUCCAUCCUGCCAGUAACACCAUCUGACUUAAGAUACUAGGGUGCAGUUUGAAGCCAGAAAAAUCAAGAAGUUGAGAGCACACACAUACCUCUUCAGUUUUAAACCUGGCGUGGCUGUUGAAGUGCAUCCUUUCUUCCCUGGACUUCCUCGCCCCACUCGGGCAGCUAGGUUCAUGAGUUUGUUCCUCUGGCAGAAGUAACAACAAUAAAAUGCAUAAAAGACGCUGUGACUGAGUACCAAUUUCUCACAACCAGGGGCCAUGUGCUGCUGUAAUCAUAGGAGAUGGUUGUCAUUAAAAGUCCUCUAAGAGCCUGGCAGGUAGCUUUCCUGGGAGUCUCUCUAGGAGAGCAGAGCUGCUUCCGAGUCUCUGGUCUGCCUGGAAAUCACCCUUUCUCCAGUGAUCUUCUACUGAGUUGACUUGAAUCACAGCUGUUACAUGCUACACCUGUUACAUGCUAGCAUUGAAAAUAAUAAAAUGGUGAA